GAUGAAGAACGUAGCGAAAUGCGAUAAGUAAUGUGAAUUGCAGAAUUCAGUGAAUCAUCGAAUCUUUGAACGCACAUUGCGCCCGCUAGUAUUCUGGCGGGCAUGCCUGUCCGAGCGUCAUUUCAACCCUCAAGCCCCCGGGCUUGGUGUUGGGGAUCGGCGAGCCUCCGCGCCCGCCGUCCCCUAAAUCUAGUGGCGGUCUCGCUGUAGCUUCCUCUGCGUAGUAGCACACCUCGCACUGGGAAACAGCGCGGCCACGCCGUUAAACCCCCAACUUCUGAACGUUUGACCUCGUAUCAGGUAGGAAUACCCGCUGAACUUAAGCAUAUCAAUAAGCGGAGGA
rnacentral:misc_RNA from 1 species